ensembl:lncRNA
GGGGUCUUAAUGCAUUAUGAUGGCUUUAGGGUGAUAUAUUAGGGGGUCUUAAUGCAUUAUGAUGGCUUUAGUGUAAUAUAUUAGGGGGUCUUAAUGCAUUAUGAUGGCUUUAGGGUGAUAUAUUAGGGGGGGUCUUAAUGCAUUAUGAUGGCUUUAGGGUGAUAUAUUAGGGGGUCUUAAUGCAUUAUGAUGGCUUUAGUGUAAUAUAUUAGGGGGUCUUAAUGCAUUAUGAUGGCUUUAGGGUGAUAUAUUAGGGGGUCUUAAUGCAUUAUGAUGGCUCAAAGGCUGUGAUCAUCAACUAGAUUCUGCAGGUCAAUUACAAAAAAAAUACAAAGUUUGUUGUUCAGAUGGUUGGGGGGCCUGGAACGUAAUCCCAAAAAUAAUUAGCAGACUGCAAAUUGACCGCAAGAAGCCCUAACAGAUAUUUUUCAAACUUUGCCUACGUUUAUAUAUGAUCUUGUGUUUCUCUCUGCGUGGGAAUACUUGGAACCGGUUUACAAAAUUAAAAUCACUUGGAGCUGAUUUCCUGGUGGCUGAUGUAAAAAGGGCUUUAUGAAUUAGAUUUUAGUUUUUAAUGUCCAACAAUAAAUGCAAAAUAAAGCCACUCGCGGGACGCUAGUUGGG